AUUGGACGCUGGCGGCAGGCUUAACACAUGCAAGUCGAGCGGAGCGAGGGUGCUUGCACCUUAGCUUAGCGGCGGACGGGUGAGUAAUGCUUAGGAAUCUGCCUAUUAGUGGGGGACAACAUUCCGAAAGGAAUGCUAAUACCGCAUACGCCCUACGGGGGAAAGCAGGGGAUCUUCGGACCUUGCGCUAAUAGAUGAGCCUAAGCCGGAUUAACUAGUUGGUGGGGUAAAGGCCUACCAAGGCGACGAUCUGUAGCGGGUCUGAGAGGAUGAUCCGCCACACUGGGACGGAGACACGGCCCAGACUCCGACGGGAGGCAGCAGUGGGGAAUAUUGGACAAUGGGCGGAAGCCUGAUCCAGCCAUGCCGCGUGUGUGAAGAAGGCCUUUUGGUUGUAAAGCACUUUAAGCGAGGAGGAGGCUACUUAGAUUAAUACUCUGGGAUAGUGGACGUUACUCGCAGAAUAAGCACCGGCUAACUCUGUGCCAGCCGCCGCAGUAAGAC
rnacentral:rRNA from 1 species